GAUGAACGCUGGCGGCGUGCCUAAUACAUGCAAGUCGAGCGAACGGACGAGAGGCUUGCUUCUCUGAUGUUAGCGGCGGACGGGUGAGUAACACGUGGAUAACCUACCUAUAAGACUGGGAUAACUUCGGGAAACCGUGGCUAAUACCGGAUAAUAUUUUGAACCGCAUGGUUCAAAAGUGAAAGACGGUCUUGCUGUCACUUAUAGAUGGAUCCGCGCUGCAUUAGCUAGUUGGUAAGGUAACGGCUUACCAAGGCAACGAUGCAUAGCCGACCUGAGAGGGUGAUCGGCCACACUGGAACUGAGACACGGUCCAGACUCCUACGGGAGGCAGCAGUAGGGAAUCUUCCGCAAUGGGCGAAAGCCUGACGGAGCAACGCCGCGUGAGUGAUGAAGGUCUUCGGAUCGUAAAACUCUGUUAUUAGGGAAGAACAUAUGUGUAAGUAACUGUGCACAUCUUGACGGUACCUAAUCAGAAAGCCACGGCUAACUACGUG
rnacentral:rRNA from 1 species